rnacentral:rRNA from 1 species
AUUGAACGCUGGCGGCAUGCCUAACACAUGCAAGUCGAACGAGUGGCGGACGGGUGAGUAAUGUCUGGGAAACUGCCUGAUGGAGGGGGCUAACUACUGGAAACGGUAGCUAAUACCGCAUACCAUCAGAUGUGCCCAGGUGGUAGUAGAGUGGUGGUGGGGUAACGGCUCACCAAGGCGACGAUCCCGAGCUGGUCUGAGAGGAUGACCAGCCACACGGGAACGGAGACACGGGCCAGACUCCUACGGGAGGGAGCAGUGGGGAAUAUUGCACAAUGGGCGCAAGCCUGAUGCAGCCAUGCCGCGUGUAUGAAGAAGGCCUUCGGGUUGUAAAGUCCUUUCAGCGGGGAGGCGUUACCCGCAGAAGAAGCACCGGCUAACUCCGUGCCAGCCGCCGCGGUAAUAC